rnacentral:misc_RNA from 1 species
GGGGUCCGAUGUGAGGAAGAAUCAGAAGAACGAGUGGUUCGAGAGGAAACGUGGUGGUCGGAAUGGAAAGAGAUCGUUGUCGAUUCGGAGAGGGAGAGGGGGGCUAUCUAUCAGGAAUGGAAGCUUCAAGCAAGAGAAGCCGAAGACGAGGAAGAAAGAAAUUCAAUCUUCAACAGACAGAGAGGUCAAUAUUUCGAAGGCCAUGGAGACAUCGAGGAUAGAGAAAGAGAAGGCGAGCGCAGAGAGGAAGAUAAGGAAGGUUUCGAUGGCGAAGAAGGUUGUGG